rnacentral:rRNA from 1 species
CCUACGGGAGGCAGCAGUGAGGAAUAUUGGUCAAUGGACGCAAGUCUGAACCCGCCAUGCCGCGUGCAGGCAGACGGCUCUAUGAGUUGUAAACUGCUUUUGUACGAGGGUAAACGCAGAUACGCGUAUCUGUCUGAAAGUAUCGUACGAAUAAGGAUCGUCUAACUCCGUGCCCGCAGCCGCGGUAAUACGGAGGAUUCAAGCGUUAUCCGGAUUGAUUGGGUUUAAGGGGUGCGUAGGCGGUCGGAUAAGUUAGAGGUGAAAUCCCGAGGCGCAACUUCGGAAUUGCCUCUGCUACUGUGCGGCUAGAGAGUAGUUGCGGUAGGCGGAAUGUAUGGUGUAGCGGUGAAAUGCUUAGAGAUCAUACAGAACACCGAUUGCGAAGGCAGCUUACCAAGCUACUUCUGACGUUGAGGCACGAAAGCGUGGGGAGCAAACAGGAUUAGAUACCCGGGUAGUC